rnacentral:rRNA from 1 species
GUAGUUGGUGAGGUAACUGGCCCACCAAGCCUCUGACNGUGNGUAGCUGGUUUGAGAGGAUGAUCAGCCACAUUGGUGACUGAGACACGGCCCAGACUCCUACGGGAGGCAGCAUGCAGUGGAAUUUNUUGCGCAAUGGGCUGAAAGCCUGACGCAGCAAC